UUACGGCCAUAUCACGUUGAAACACCGGAUCUCGUCCGAUUACUGAAGUUAAGCAACGUUGAACCUGGUCAAUACCUAGAUGAGUGGCCAUUGGAAAAUACCAGGUUCUGU